rnacentral:lncRNA from 1 species
GUCUGGAACAAGCAUGAGAUAGAGAGGUUGAAACACAUACCACAGUACAAAGAUAGAUCUGUGACUCUCAUGGCAGGGUAAAUUUAUGCCAAAAUAUACAGACUUUGACCUGUAAAUACUUGUGAGGACAUAAUGGAUGCUUUCUUAUACUGUUUAUUCGGAACAAAUAGGAUAUUGAAUAGUGAAUCAUCACUGAUCAUGCUUUUUAAUUCAAUGCUAGCUUUACUGUGAGUCUAGGGAACACAAUCUACAUCAAAAUACUCAACAAUUUUUACAGAAAAUGUGAGUGGUGCUUGUCUUUGCAAAAGCUGACACUAUGUUGCCAGGACAAGGCUGUGCUGUGUAAAAGCAGUGAAAACCCCCAGGCAUGUACACACAGAUACACACACAGCAUCCCCCGUGAAGCAGAAGCAGCACGCGGAUAAUGGGACAUGAAAUGAUGCUCCUUUACAAGCAAAACACAGCUGGACCAAAAGUGAAUGUAAUCUUUUGUUUUGAUACGGCGGAGCG